GGUAACACCGGCAGCCCGAGUGGUGAUCACUAUUAUUGGGUCUAAAGGGUCCGUAGCCGGUUUAAUCAGUCUUCUGGGAAAUCUAAUCGCUUAACUAUUAGGCUUCCAGGGGAUACUGUUAGACUUGGGACCGGGAGAGGUAAGAGGUACUGCAGGGGUAGGAGUGAAAUCUUGUAAUCCCUGUGAGACCACCAGUGGCGAAGGCGUCUUACCAGAACGGGUCCGACGGUGAGGGACGAAAGCUGGGGGCACGAACCGGAUUAGAUACCCGGGUAGUCCCAGCUGUAAACGAUGCUCGUUAGGUGUCAGGAACGGUGCGACUGUUUCUGGUGCCGAAGGGAAGCCGUGAAACGAGCCACCUGGGAAGUACGGCCGCAAGGCUGAAACUUAAAGGAAUUGGCGGGGGAGCACUACAACGGGUGGAGCCUGCGGUUUAAUUGGACUCAACGCCGGAAAACUCACCGGGGGCGACAGCAAUAUGUAGGUCAGGUUAAAGGUCUUACCUGAAUCGCUGAGAGGAGGUGCAUGGCCGUCGUCAGUUCGUACUGUGAAGCAUCCUGUUAAGUCAGGCAACGAGCAAGACCCGUGCCCACUGUUACCAGCAUAUCCUUUAUGGAUGAUGGGGACUCUGUGGGGACCGCUGCUGCUAAAGCAGAGGAAGGUGCGGGCUACGGUAGGUCAGUAUGCCCCGAAUCUCCCGGGCUACACGCGGGCUACAAUGGUUGGGACAAUGGGUAUCUACUCCGAAAGGAGUUGGCAAUCUCUUAAACCCAAUCGUAGUUCGAAUUGAGGGCUGUAACUCGCCCUCAUGAAGCUGGAAUCCGUAGUAAUCGCGUUUCAACAUAGCGCGG
rnacentral:rRNA from 1 species